AUUGAACGCUGGCGGCAGGCCUAACACAUGCAAGUCGAACGGUAGCACAGAGGAGCUUGCUCCUUGGGUGACGAGUGGCGGACGGGUGAGUAAUGUCUGGGAAACUGCCCGAUGGAGGGGGAUAACUACUGGAAACGGUAGCUAAUACCGCAUAACGUCGCAAGACCAAAGAGGGGGACCUUCGGGCCUCUUGCCAUCGGAUGUGCCCAGAUGGGAUUAGCUAGUAGGUGGGGUAACGGCUCACCUAGGCGACGAUCCCUAGCUGGUCUGAGAGGAUGACCAGCCACACUGGAACUGAGACACGGUCCAGACUCCUACGGGAGGCAGCAGUGGGGAAUAUUGCACAAUGGGCGCAAGCCUGAUGCAGCCAUGCCGCGUGUAUGAAGAAGGCCUUCGGGUUGUAAAGUACUUUCAGCGAGGAGGAAGGGGAUGUGGUUAAUAACCGCAUUCAUUGACGUUACUCGCAGAAGAAGCACCGGCUAACUCCGUGCCAGCAGCCGCGGUAAUACGGAGGGUGCAAGCGUUAAUCGGAAUUACUGGGCGUAAAGCGCACGCAGGCGGUCUGUCAAGUCGGAUGUGAAAUCCCCGGGCUCAACCUGGGAAC
rnacentral:rRNA from 1 species